CAGUAGCCGCGGUAAUACGAAGGGGGCUAGCGUUGCUCGGAAUGACUGGGCGUAAAGGGCGCGUAGGCGGCGAUCAAAGUCAGGCGUGAAAUUCCUGGGCUCAACCUGGGGGCUGCGCUUGAUACUUGGUUGCUUGAGUGGGGAAGAGGGUCGUGGAAUUCCCAGUGUAGAGGUGAAAUUCGUAGAUAUCGGAAGGAACACCUGUGGCGAAAGCGGCUCACUGGACCAUUUCUGACGCUGAUGCACGAAAGCUAGGGGAGCAAACAGGAUUAGAUACCCCCGUAGUCCCUGUCUCUUAUAC
rnacentral:rRNA from 1 species